rnacentral:ribozyme from 13 species
ACCAAGGGAAGGAAAGAAAAGAAAACAAAUCAAAAAUAAAAUAAUAAAACAAAUGAUCAUUUGUCCCUGUUGGCCUUUUUUGAAAAAUUACACAAAAUAUUUCCCCUUUUUUUUUCCUUCUCCCUCUC